rnacentral:rRNA from 1 species
GUCUUUGCCCACGCCGCCCUGAACGUGCCUGAUCUCUUCUUAUCUCGUGAAGCUAAGCCGGGUCAGGCCUGGUUAGUACUUGAUGGGAGACCACCUAGGAAUACCAGGUGUUGUAGGUG